rnacentral:rRNA from 1 species
AUUGAACGCUGGCGGCAUGCCUUACACAUGCAAGUCGAACGGCAGCACGGGAGCAAUCCUGGUGGAGAGUGGCGAACGGGUGAGUAAUAUAUCGGAAUGUGCCCAGUCGUGGGGGAUAACGCAGCGAAAGCUGUGCUAAUAACGCAUACGAUCUACGGAUGAAAGCGGGGGAUCGCAAGACCUCGCGCGAUUGGAUCGGCCGAUAUCAGAUUAGCGAGUUGGUGAGGUAAAGGCUCACCAAGGCGACGAUCUGUAGCUGGUCUGAGAGGACGACCAGCCACACUGGAACUGGGACACGGUCCAGACUCCUACGGUAGGCAGCAGUGGGGAAUUUUGGACAAUGGGCGCAAGCCUGAUCCAGCAAUGCCUCGUGCAGGAUGAAGGCCUUCGGUUUGUAAACUGCUUUUGUACGGAACGAAACGGCGAGCUCUAAUACAGUUUGCUAAUGACGGUACCGUAAGAAUAAGCACCGGCUAACUACGUGCCAGCCGCCGCAGUAAAAC